UGGGUAGAACGAUUUCACGUUCAUCGGAGCUCGACUGGUUUAGAUCGACAAACAACCCUUCGAUCCGUGUAUCUCGAGUUACAGACCACCUCUUUAUGUGAUUCUUGGCUUAGUGAGUUCUUCUUGAAGUUCUGAACAACUCUCCAGAAGGAAUCGAAGCGUUUCGUUGAAGUUUUUACGUCGAAACUCAUGCUCGCCGGAUUCUGGAAUUUUUCCGACCACCGAAGCUUUCGAUCGGUAUAUCUCGAGCUACAGACCAUAUUUUUCUGUGAUUCUUGAACCAAUGAGUUCACCUUGAGUUUCUUAACAACUCUCUAGAAGGAAUCGAAGCCUGAAAUUGAAGUUUUGACGUCGAAAUCAAGCCUUGCCGGAUUCUGCAAAGUUCGCCGGAUUCUGGAAAUUUUCCGGCCACCUCGACUGUUUUAGGUGAUUGACGGAUCGAUUUGGCGGACAAUUUGUGAAAUUGUUGUUGAGCUGUUAAGAAGAUGCAGCUGGAUUAGAGCGGGUAAUCCUACAGGUCAAGAGAAUCAGGACGGAGAUCGAGCUG